rnacentral:lncRNA from 1 species
CUCAUUAUUUUCCACAUCUCUGAGUCGUCCUCCUUAUUCUUUCUUAAACCCUUAAGCUCUUUCGCCAGCAUGGCCCCAUCAAACAGGACGGAUUUGCUUCUAUCUCCUUUCACGUCAAUGGGCUCAGCUUUUGCUGGAACUGCCACUGAUAAAAUUGCCACGCUGGCUUCCUUUGCAUCAGGGGCCUUCUUUGCGGAUAUCCCCAUGAUAUGCCUCCUAUCGAAGAACCUCUGAGCCUCCUCGCACGUGUCUCUGAAUCUUAUCUUUCCAAUACCCACAACAGCUGACAUCAGAGUGGGUUGCAUCAUUAGGAGAUACAUCAUGUAGUCUGACAGGAUUUUACUGAACUCACGGGCGCUAUGAUUCGCUUUAGUGCCUUUUUUUGUCUGGUAUAAGAGCUCAGUGGCUAUAUGCCAUACAAGAAGGCUCUGAUCGUAAUCCAUUUCCAUCACAUAGCGUAGAAGUUUCUCACGUUUUUUUUCUGUUUCUGGGUCACCUUGUAUGUCGCGCAGUGUCCAGUCACCUCUUGCUGAAGAUACCCUCAUGGCGCUUUCAGAGUCGUCAGCGAAACGGGAUUUGGCUUUAACCUCUCCGAAUAUGUGUUCCCACAUAUCCAGGGUGAGACGAUCACUAGAUGUGUAGAUCACCUCAUCUAGCUGAGCUCGGAUGCCAAAGAACUCCAUAAAACUUUUUAUCCAGCGUCCAGGUAGACUAGGAAUGUAAAAUAUGCAGAAGAAGCUAAACCUAAUGAUUCAAUGACACUUCCAAGUUUUGUGAAUGCGGGGCCAAUGUAAAGUAUGUUGAUAACCUUGUCAAAGGCGAUGUGUAUGAAACCCUUGGUAUGGUGGAUUCGCUUCGGUUUUAAACCUAGGCAGUAUUCGAUCAGGUUGUGUGCAUGUACAUACUCAGACCACCGGCGAUACAUGAAACUCGUGUCGAGCACUUUAUGACAUGGUAUUGUCUUGGCACUCUUGUCGGGCACUUCCUGACCUGGUAUUUUGCUGGUACUCUUGUCGAGAACUUCAUGAGACUUCUCUGUCUUCAACUCCCUCACCCUGAGAAUCCUGUUAAGAAUCCUUUUAAGAAAUGGUGUUUUCUUAGUACUCGUGUUGGGCACUUCAUGAGACUGUGUAUUCUUGUAGCAUUCAUCAUACUCCUCCACCUUCAAUUUCCUGACCCCGAGAAUGUUUUCAAGAAUCCAGUUAAGAAUGUUGUCGGACCAGGUGGGUGGAUCGUCCACUUCGUCCUUCAUCUUCCUCAAUCUGACAAACGUCCAAUCAGAUGCACAGAACAUGAUAAGAGCGAUGCAAUCCAGAGCUAUUCCUCCUAACAGCAAUGCGUAAGUAAGGCCAACAUCAAAUCCACUAUAAUCUUUCUUGCUCUUGUAUUGAAAGAUGCGUAGAGCUGCUGCAAGGCAUCCCAGGGCAAUGAACCUGAAGAGGAAUCCUAUCCAGUUGUGCAAGAUCUCGGCUUUCGUGUAUAGAGCUGCGUAGAUAAAGUUGAGCUCAACCUCUAAGAUUCUUAAAGCUUCUUCUGCUUUCAGCGAGUCAAAGAAUCUCUUGCUCUCAGCUCGUUGUUGAAAUGUAAAGAUGAGAUCAACCACAAGACCUUUGAAGAUAUUAAAGUACUUGUAGGCGUACUGGAGAAUAUUGAGUGGAGUGAACCCGUCAGGAGGCUUUACCGGAGCAUCGUCUCUUGGAUCUUUCUCAGGCUCGCCAACCUUGAUAAUCUGUGUAGGCAUCUUCAUAUCUUUCUUGGCUGCGUAUUCCUCCAUGAGCUUUGCGUAGUUUGGUCCAGGAUCAGGCCGCUGAAUCAUGGAAUCUUUGAACUUGUCAAGACUCGCCAGGUACAAAGCUAAUGUCCUCUCGACAUACUUGAUCACCCCGGUCGCAAACACCAGCAAAAUAGGUUUCCAAAGAGCAUUGGGUAACGACUGCAAAAGCACGUAAACGGUUGCAACUGAUUGAAAGAAAAGACCCAACAAGUGCCUGAGCCAGAGCUCGUUAUCUUCAAGGGCAAGGGCAGUGAUUGUAUCUGGACCACCGAGAUGCAAGAGCAAGAAAGGAACCCAGAAAGCAAACAACUCGGCGCUCUUUUUCGGUUCUCCGGGUUCUGGAUCAUCUCCUUGACUAUCUGAGAUUUGUCCGGCGGCGAAAUUGGCAGACCAAUCAGCAAGAAGGUAAGCUGACCAAAUGAAAGAGAGUAAAACUUUUCUGGAUGAGCGUUUUCUUUGAGGUGCAAAGAAAAUGAGAAAUGUUUGAAGGCUGAGACUGAAGAUUAAGACAAGAACUGAUGGUUUAUGAGAUCUAACACAGAUACAUCUAAAGAGGUUGACUUCUUUCUUUUUCUGGUUUUACUAUGAGUUUUUUUGCUUUUGAGGCUUUUUGUUGUGUGUGAAGGUUUGAAUUAUUCUGGUUGGACAGCCAUUGGAGGCUACUUGGAGACCUUGAGAUUUCUCCGUUUUUCCUUGAAU